rnacentral:rRNA from 1 species
GAUGAACGCUGGCGGCGUGCCUAAUACAUGCAAGUCGAGCGAACGGACGAGAAGCUUGCUUCUCUGAUGUUAGCGGCGGACGGGUGAGUAACACGUGGAUAACCUACCUAUAAGACUGGGAUAACUUCGGGAAACCGGAGCUAAUACCGGAUGAUAUUUUGAACCGCAUGGUUCAAAAGUGAAAGACGGUCUUGCUGUCACUUAUAGAUGGAUCCGCGCUGCAUUAGCUAGUUGGUAAGGUAUCGGCUUACCAAGGCAACGAUGCAUAGCCGACCUGAGAGGGUGAUCGGCCACACUGGAACUGAGACACGGUCCAGACUCCUACGGGAGGCAGCAGUAGGGAAUCUUCCGCAAUGGGCGAAAGCCUGACGGAGCAACGCCGCGCGAGUGAUGAAGGUCUUCGGAUCGUAAAACUCUGUUAUUAGGGAAGAACAUAUGUGUAAGUAACUGUGCACAUCUUGACGGUACCUAAUCAGAAAGCCACGGCUAACUACGUG